UGAAGGCUGUUUUACCUGCUUCACUCUCUUUCCUGUGGUUCUUUUUCCCAUUCUGUGGCAAGGCUGGUAUGUUCCAUGGCAAAGGGGCAAUAGGUUUAUCUUUGACCUUGAUUUUUAUCCCUGAAGUUGGAUGGAACAACUGUGAACUUUAUUUUCCAUUAUGCAGACUGAAAAGAAACUUGUGUUAUUAAUAAUUGAAGUCAUACAGAGAUUAUCUACAACAUUCCUUGCAUGAAGUAAAUGAAGUCAACCCAACAGUCUCAUGAGAGUUGAACUUUACUGGGACUCAGUUCUAUACUUCCUCAAGCAACAUGUAUUACCAAAAAACUGCUCUACCUUCCUGUUAAAGACUUUUGGACCCCUUCCAAGAAAAUUAGGAAUAUUCUAGAUUGGACUGUGUGCAACUACUACUACAAGAAGGAUGAUGAAAGACCCUAUGCUUCUAGAAAUAACAGCAGCCAACACCAUUGGGA
rnacentral:lncRNA from 1 species